rnacentral:rRNA from 1 species
GGCAUUCAAAAAAGAACGCUGGCGGCGCGCUUAACACAUGCAAGUCGAACGAUUAUUUACUCUUCGGAGCAGAUGAUAGUGGCGAACGGGUGAGUAACAAGUGAGUAAUCUACCCCAAAGUGAGGUAUAGCUUUAGGAAACUGAAGGUAAUCCCUCAUAAUAUCUUUUAAUCGCAUGAUUUUUAGAUCAAAGUUUUUCGCUUUGGGAUGAGCUCGCUCCCGAUUAGGCAGUUGGUGAGGUAACGGCUCACCAAACCUAUGAUCGGUAGCCGGACUGAGAGGUUGUACGGCCACAUUGGGACUGAGAUACGGCCCAGACUCCUACGGGAGGCAGCAGUGGGGAAUCUUGCACAAUGGGGGAAACCCUGAUGCAGCGACGCCGUGUGAAGGAUGACAGUCUUCGGAUUGUAAACUUCAGUUACAGGGAACGAUAAUGACGGUACCCUGAGUGAAAGCCACGGCUAACUACGUGCCAGCAGCCGCGGUAAUACGUAGGUGGCGAGCGUUGUCCGGAAUUACUGGGUGUAAAGGGAGCGUAGGCGGAUUUGUUAGUUGAAUGUUAAAUCUAGAGGCUCAACUUCUAGUCGCGUUCAAAACUACAAGUCUUGAGUGAAGUAGAGGCAGGCGGAAUUCCUAGUGUAGCGGUAAAAUGCAUAGAUAUUAGGAGGAACACCAGUGGCGAAGGCGGCUUGCUGGUCUUCAACUGACGCUAAGGCUCGAAAGCGUGGGGAGCAAACAGGAUUAGAUACCCUGGUAGUCCACGCUGUAAACGAUGAUUACUAGGUGUGGGUGUUUACACAUCCGUGCCGCAGUUAACGCAUUAAGUAAUCCACCUGGGGAGUACGACCGCAAGGUUGAAACUCAAAGGAAUUGACGGGGGCCCGCACAAGCAGUGGAGUAUGUGGUUUAAUUCGAAGCAACGCGAAAAACCCUACCAGGUCUUGACAUCAGUUUUCUUUUCUGAAAAGUUUAGGUCCCUUCGGGAUGGCCUUGACAGUGUGCAUAUGUCGUCAGCUCGUGUCGUGAGAUGUGGGCUAGUCCGCAACGAGCGCAACCCUUACUUGUAGUACUACGAAGAGUAA